rnacentral:rRNA from 1 species
UACGUAGGGUGCGAGCGUUAAUCGGAAUUACUGGGCGUAAAGGGUGCGCAGGCGGUCCUGCAAGUCAGGCGUGAAAUCCCCGGGCUUAACCUGGGAAUGGCACUUUGAAACUACGGGACUGGAGUAUGGCAGAGGGAGGUGGAAUUCCACGUGUAGCGGUGAAAUGCGUAGAGAUGUGGAGGAACACCGAUGGCGAAGGCAGCCUCCUGGGCCAAUACUGACGCUCAUGCACGAAAGCGUGGGGAGCAAACAGG